ACACAACAAAACAAAAGAUAUUAAUGAAUUCUUUUCAUCAGUCAUAUGUUAUUUUUACUCCAAGAAGAAAAUGUGAUUGUUGAAACCUUGUCUCCACAAAAAGAUGUUUCUAAACAGACUAACUGAAUCCUUAUAUAAGUUUCGAAAGAAAUGUAAUUUUGUUUUGAAAUUUUAUCAGCUACAGUGUUGUAGGAAAUUUGUGACGUUACGUUAUCAGGAAGUGAAAAUGGACUUUUAUUUUGAAGGUGAUUUCCUCUCUCUCGCUGGUAGUUUCCGCUAACUUUCUUCUUCGGGUGUGUUUUUCAUGAGAGCUGCUGGUCGGAUGCAAGCUAGUUCUACACAGAGAGGGUUUCUGUCAUCCUAGCUCCCGUUCAUUGUUUCUCCUCACUUUUGGUGCCUUGGAAAGCUUCGUCUUUUUACAAGAAUAAAGGAGGAAAGUGGAUUCAGUGAAGAUUACUAAAGCCUGUAAAAGUCAAUCCUGGACUCUAUGUCUUCUUUGGGAUCCUCACCUCAUGUUAGCUAUCUGUCGAACUGUUUACGUCACAGACACAGACACGUAGGACAGAAUAAAAUUAAUGAGAGUUUUAAAGAGCCAUAAAUUCCAGAAAAUGAGGACUGAAGCAAAAGUUGGCACAAACUAAAGUAUAGUUGUAAUCUUGAUUAUAUUACAAAGGCUGUGUCCGAAAUGGCAUACUAACGUACUACUCAUACUAAGUGUGACGUCAAAAUAAGUAUGUAGUGCGUUCACAUUACAUAGUAUAAAAAGAUUGAGUACGCGAGAAAUACCCGGAUGUAUACUAUUUCCGGAAAAUUUUUAAGUAUGCGCGGUGACCACACUAGUCAUACUCAUCCGCCCCAUAAUGCUUUGCGAGCUACCCACCGAAAUGGAAGCCUGUGGCCGGACCGGGGCGAUUUUUAUUUUAUUUUAUGUGGUUAAAGGCAUUAUGGAGGAUGUUUUUUUUUUGUUUAAUUUGUCUGAUUCACAUAAAAUGAAUAUACUGACCUGUAGUGGACUUGUAUGUAUGGUCUCUAAAAGAAUUUAAAAAAACAACAAAAAAAAAAACUGUGGGCAUGGCAGGACCUGAUAAACAUCAGCCAAUCAACGCGCUCGGACCGAGGCGUUUGGUUUGCUCCCUUUCCUGUCAAUCAAAAACCUUCCGGCUCAGGCCGAGUUACGUAGAUUACGUACGCCUUGGACUUACGUGUUUUCUGUAUGUGUUGCUUUGGUAUAGCUUCGUAGUUAGCUGGCGACUUGUUUUGCUCUUCUUUUUUUACAUAAUGGCAGAUAAAGAUCCAGGGGGACCCAGCCGUAAAAGAAAACUUCACGAGUCCUACGCAAGUUUCUGGAGGGGGGCGUUUCUUCGUAAAUGUUAAGAGGGGGGAGGUUAGAGGGGGUGAGGGAGAGGUUGUAUGUGCGCAUGCGCAUGCUACGUUCAAAGUCGUAGGAAAUUAAAUCUCCUCUAAUGCCUUUAAGUAGUCAUCCUAAUCACCCCACAGAUUGAGAAAUAGGCGUUUUCUGACCAACGUUUUAAAUUUGUCAGACGCCUCACAACGUGCUACUGAACGCUAGCAGCUAGUUGCAGCAGCUCGCUUUGCAUACAGAACAAGUAGCAGCUCCCUGCAGUAGCCUGCAGCUACAAUUGAAACGAUUCGCAUAAUCUGGCUAAUAACUGCAUGAGGAGUGCCGGCUUGAAAUUGCCACAUUAAUUAUGCGACUGUUUGUUAGCGUAAAAUCGACCUGAAGCCGGCAAUCAGCCGAGAUAUUUGAUAGCCGUACUUCCGGUUUUUGUCGUCGGAGGCUUGAAAUGCAUUAUGGGAAACGUAGUAGUAUACUACAGUGUGAACGGUUGACAUUCUAAUCAUACUUAUAGUACGUAGUAUACAGUAUAUACUCAUUGAGUAUGUAGUACGUUAGUAUGCCAUUUCGGACACAGCCAUAAUCUGUUAUAUCUUUAUUUUUGAGGACUAUUCCACUCUUUUGUUUCUUGUAUUGCUUCUUCCAGUUCUAAUUUCUAUCUAACAGCUGUAACUUGUAAAUAUCCCUGGUGAGGGAUUAAUUAAGUUAUUUUUUCUUGUCUUAUCAUCAUUUGUAUGCUCUUUUCCUGUUACUUUUGGUUGUAUUUGCUUUUUGCUAUGGUCUCCACACCAAAACUAUGUAGAUAGCUUUAGGAAAAUGUCAGGCUUCGGUUCACACUUUUAAAAAGAUGACUACAUUUGAAGCUUGGUUAACUUUGGACAACAAAACCACUUCAUAAGGUUUAGAAAAACAUCAUAUUUGGGGUUAAAAUACAACAUAUUUAAAGUUUUUCCUCCAUCUUCUGGGUUAUAAGGUGGAAAAUAAUAUCCCAUCAAUUAUAUGAUUGGGUGGCUGAAAAGAAGCAACACUAAAACAAUAAAAUAAACUGUCAAAAUUGUUGAUAAUAAACACAUAUGUAAGAAAAAAAAUGACCACACCCAAAAAAUGUUCCAUUCAGAACCUAACUAAUUACUUGUAUAGAAAUGCAAUUGUGUGCAGACUGGGUUGGUUAGGGGGACAUCGAUUCGUCAGUUUUUGUGCAUUAAGUGGAUUUUAAUGUUGGCCAGAAGAGGUUUUAGUUUUUAUUUAUUAUGUAUAACAGUGUUUCCCUUUUCUGGUUGGUGUUCUGUGGUUCUGUUUUGGAUGGCGCCUGAAAUUUUAGACCCAUGAAUGUUGUUAUCUAGAAAUUUUAACUAUUUUAUAUUCUUUGCAAAUUAUUUUGCAUAGAAUAUAUAAAGACAGAAGUAAACAAUGCAUGUAGUGUUUGAAGCGUACAGCCAGCUGUAAAAGACAAAUAAAUAAACUAUAAAAUGGCCAAAAAAUCAUACUUUCCCCUGUAGCAUCAACUACCAAAUCACAUUUCACUACUUUUUGAGAUAUUUUUUGCAUGUUGUUUUCCAAAGAAUUAGAUUUUUUUUUGGAGGCACAGCAGUUUGUUUUUUCUGUAAAGAAUAUAUAAAAGACAAAAAGUAUGUAAUGUUUGACACAUUCAAAAACAAAUAAAUGAGCUGCAAAGUCUUCAAAAGUUAAUAUUUAUAGCAGUCGGAUUAAAUAUACAAGCAGCCUUAACAACCUUCUGAACAAAAUAGAUCAUUUUAACUCUUUGAGUGGAACAGCAUUUCGACAAAGAAACAAAACAGUAAAUAUGGUAUUUGACAAGAUUCAAAGGCAAAAAAAUAAAUCAGUUUGAAAUGAAAAACUUGUUUAUGAUCCCUGUCAAAAGCCUUUAUUAAACCUAAUUUAAGUUUCAGUAAUUGUUUUUUCAUAGCCAACAAUCCAAGAAACUGAGGAGCUGAAGAAGCUAAACAAUAAGAUCUGUGGCUCGCGGCUCUUUGGCACAUUUUCUUUUUUGGCAUUUGAUGGGAAAACAAAGAGUCUUUCUCAAUUACUUGAUGGUGAUGUUUCAAUGAAGGUGCAGAAAUGAGGAAAAGUUUUCUUUAAAAGCAAACGAAGUUGCCAAAUUCUAUAAAACUUUAAUGGAAAAAAGUCAGAAAAUGGUUCGAAGUUCAGAGUUUUUGCAGCAGGAACUCUGGAAAAGGUUGAUUUGCGGCUCCGUAAUCCCUCAAAAGACAGCAUGUGUGUGACUUACUUUACUCAAGUAGCAAAUUCCCCCCUUUAUUCUGCUCUCAUUCUGGGUUUAGAUUUAAUUUCUCACCCAAAAACACCACUUCAAGCCCUCAUUCGAAUUCAACUCUGCUGUUUUGACAGAUAGAUUUGUUUUGCACUAAAAACGUGCUCAACGACUGGAGGCUUAGAGUCUAGCUCUUAAAAGCAGAGCUCCACAUGGAGGCCUUUAAAUGAGAUAUUUCCCCAACAUGGAUUUAGCCGGGGACAGUUUUUUUUCUGUGGCACAAUAAUGUCCGACCCUCUGCAUAAGUGGAUGCAGUUGCGAACAAAUAAACCCGACAAGGAUGUAAUUUUUAGCCGACUAAUCUCAUGAUCAACCUCCUGGAGAAAACGAAGGAGAAAAGUCUCGGCAGAGUUCGGUCCAGAGGUUAGAGGAGUGGACUUUGCGGCUGGGAGGUUGUUUGAUUGUAUUUCUGGGUUUGUUCUGGGAAAAUCUCCUCUCAGCGGCAGCCUGGAUCCACUUGAAAAAAGGCCGAUUAACCUCCAACUGCUGCAGGAGUCACAGAGCGGUAACAGGUAGAUUGAAAAAGGCUGAGAAGGAGAACGUCUCAACUGAGCUGUGAUGAAAGAGAACGUCUCAAACUAAAAUCUAUUAUGUGUUCAUUUUUACUUAUUUCUCCCCUUUGAGCUGAGAAAAGUUUAGUUUCUUUUCACUCAAACAAACACAAAACCGGAUAUAAAGGCUAAGACAUUGAAUAUAUUACGACUCUAAGAAAUGUUCUGUCAUCCAUCGCUGCUAAUAUAUUUCAGCACAAGAACAUCUUGAAAAUGUUCUUUUGAUUGUUGCGUUGAGAACAUCUGCCUUUAGUUUAGUUAUCAUUGUGAAAAUAUUUUGUAGAAGAACGUUCUAUUACGUGCUUCCACAAAAAAAAGACAAAAUGUUCCAAUUUUAAUAGAACAUGCCAGCAAUGUUUUUAAAAUGUUCUGUACCAUAGAUGUUCUGUCAUCUGAGACCUCGACAACAUCUGGAAAGCACUUUUUGAAUGUUAUUUUAGCAACUAUCUUCAUCUGUUAUCACUGAACACUGUGGGAAUGUUUCAGAGGAGAACGUUCUAUAAUGUGUACCUUCUAGAACAUCCCCAUUACAUGUUCAUAACAUUACUGCCAAAAUGUUCCACCUUUGUCAAUUCUUGACAUCUGGAAAACAUUUUUUGAAUGUUAUUUUGUGAACUUUCUUCCUUUGCUUCUACAGAACACUGUGAGAACGUUCUAUUCCCUAAAACAUCGUCCGAAUAUUGCCACCAGAAUAUUCCACCUUUGCUAUUAUAUCACAUUACAGGAACAUCUUACAAAGAACUUUUUGUUUUUACUGCAUCUUGAGAAUAUUUUCUGAAUGUUCUAUUGAGAACAUCCUUCCUUUGUUAUCAUUAUGUGUGGAAACAACUUACAGAAGAAUGUUCUAUAACGAUAUAAAACUUUGCAGCCACAAUGCUCCAUGUUUAUUAAUAUAUUACAGUACAAGAACGUUUAGCCAUCUCAGAUUUUCAUAACAUCUGUAUAAAACAUCUCAUCUGUCAUUAACAUUUUUAAAAUGCUUUUUUGAGAUUGUUCUUUGAGACAUGGGAACCUUUUAUGGAUUCUAUAAUAUGCACCAUGAAGAGUGUCCUCAAAAUAUUUCCAAAAAUUGAAGCCAGAAUGUGCCAACUUUGUUAAUAUAUUAAGGUACAUGAACGUCUUCUGAAGAACGUUGUGUUGUCUGAGGUUUUGAUAACAUCUGGAAAACACUUUUUGAAUGUUGCCUUGAGAACAUCCUUCUUUUGUCAUUAUUCUAGAAAUGUCUACUGGAAGAAUGUUCUAUAGCAUGUUCCCUCAACAAAAACUCAAAAUGUUUUUUGUCUACCUUUAAUAUAUCACAUUUCAGGAGUCUAUGAAACGUUCUGUGUAAAAACAUUCUGCCAUCUGAAGCCUCGAUAACAUUUGAAAAACAUUUUUUAAAUGUUGAUUUAGGAACUUUCAUCCUUUUCUACAACAUCUUACCUUUGUUAUCACUAAAUGUUCUGUAAUGUGUUCCCUCAAAUAAAAGGCCGUUUGUUCCACCUUUAA